UGAUAGCGAUGAAAUGUAAGGUUGCCGCUGUAAUUUAGCGGGUUUUUACAUGGAGCGAAUGUCAAGUCGAGAUACUGACGACAA
rnacentral:ncRNA from 1 species